CGCACGGACAUUCAGCAGCGCUCGUCUCUUUUGGGGAGCUGAGAUCUGCAGAUCUACAGGACAGCCACGCUCCUGGGGAAACGGGCUGCGCUGCUACGUGAUUUGGUGAGAAGCAGAUGUAGAACCAGGAAAAUCCAAGUGUGGAAGAAUAAGGCUUAGACCUUGAAGUGAGGAGGGGUGUCCGUCCUCAUAUAUACAUACACACACAGACUGAGGCAAAAGAGCCCAAGAGCUUCCAAGAGACAGAGUCCCUGACAUGAUUUCCUUCAGUCCUCAAGCUGCUCACCAGAUGCUGUCUGGCUCCAAGCAGAUGAUGUCCUCAGUUCCCUACCUGGAGUCUGUAUAGUUGACAAGCUCUAAGUGCCACUUUCCUGCUGGUCAUGAAAACUCGGCUGUGAUGUGUGCCAGUUUGCAGUUUCUUUCUAUGGAGUCAGGACAGUGUUACAAGGACGAUCACAUUGACUUAACCAAGCAAAGCCAUCCACCUGCACCUGAUACAGCCCGACAGCUGGUGAAAGCACAGCAAGGCCAGAUAUUUCAAACACUAGAUACGUCCUUUCAUAACCAUUUUUCACAAGAUAUUUUCUUUAAACUUCAAGCCCACGUUCUCCCAAGAAGUGUCUUUUGGUAGAAGGGUUGAUUUGUUCUGAAAAGUUUCUUCUUGCCAUGAAUCAUCCUUUUCAUUGAAUCUUUACUGUGGGCCUUGACAAAGGUUUCAAAGUCCAUUUUGUUUACCCUGAGCAACCAUCAACAUGCAGAUCAGAGGCCUCAUUCUGAAGAGUGCUGGCCACCCUUGGGCAGCGCUGUGAGUUCAGGACUCCUAUAUUACAUAGAUGCGCUCCCCUUGGACCCAGAAAAAGGCUAAAAGACACACCUCAGUGAGAUUUCCCCUAGAAAAUAAGGCAAAAAUUAGCUUUGUUUAUGAAGCAGGUUUUAAUCCAAGUCAAAAUAUUAGGCCUCGACUCUGAGAAUUCAAGUGCAUCUAGUUGUCUUAGAUACCUUCUGGGUGAGGGAGUAUAACAUAGUGAUAAAAUGGGGACGCAGGGAUUUUAGAUAGUAAGUGGGGUAAAGGGUGGGGAGAGGACCUAGAAACACAGUUCUUUAGGUACACCACGAGGUAUGACUUGGGGGUGAGACCAGAAAUGUCUCUGUAGACAUCAAGUGCAUGUCUAAACAUCGUCGGUUUAGACUCACAUGCAGAGCUUGACCUGGUUGGUCUUCUCACAGCUCAUGUAAUGAGCGGAAUUAAAAACCCUCUUAUCCUUUUACUCCUUCCAUCUAUUUGUGCAGGGCACAGUCACUUUGAAACUAUGAUGGACUUGGCAGAAAGACUCACUGAGAUUCUUUAAAUUAAUAGAUUCUUCCUCGUGUUCACUGGCUAUGUUUACAUGUCUUUGUCCACAGCAUGUGUACCACCACUUUUUCUUUACCUGAAAUAUGCUUACACUUAGACUGAGUCUUCAGAGGUUCGUGAUAUCCUUUUGUGUCUCAUCUGCCAUCUUUGGCCCAGCUACACCUCCUUUACACCUGAACAGAGACUCUUUGGAGCAGAGACCUGUUGGCUCUGUGGAGGUGCCAGCUGCUCUUCAGGGCAUAAAAAAAUUAUGGCCCGGAACAGGGCCAAGUUGCUGAUGAAUAGCAGUUGCUGGUGCCAAGUCGCUGAUGGCUCUCGGGCCUGUUGGCGAGUCCUCUGGCUACACCUGUGCUAGUGAACCGGUGCCAGUGCCUGCCCUUUGGUCCUGAGGCCAGCUGGCAUAGUCUGGCCACGUUGCUACUUUUAGCUUCUUUUAGCUUCCAAACCAAGUUUGCAAACUUCCUACUAUUAGUAUUCCCUGGUCCAGGCUAACUCCCGAACCUUUGUUUAGGAGAGUGUUGCUUACCCUGGGCCAUAAUCAUGCCCGACACCACUCCAACAGCUUCACAGUGUUGAUAUUUCAGUGUCUGAGCUUGGUCUCUGGUGGCGUUCAUGCCAAACGAAUGCCAACUUGCUUUGUGGUUUAGCAAUAUCUUCUUUCUGAACCACAGGACCAAGGAUUUUUUCCCUGCUUGGUUGGUGCCAAUUUCUGCGAAUCCCCUCUUUGUCCCCCAGUUUUCAGUGCAUGUGUCCCCUUGGCAGAUCUGCAGCAACACUGUGUGCGUCUUCACUACAGUUAAAGAGUGGCAGCAGUCUUGUUGAGAUAUAACAGAAAUCUCCAGUUUAAAGCAAUCAUAAAUCAUAAUUCAGCACUUACCUUACGUAUUUGCAGCAAGAUAAACCAACCCCUGCUGGAUCCCAGGCUGCGCAGCCAGCUGGUAUUCCUGCAAGGUAGUCAUAUCCUAUGCCCCAGGUCUUCCAAGGUUUGAAGAGCCUGGAGGAUCAGGUCCUAAAUAGCUCACUAAAGGUCACGAGGAAAGUCUGAACAGGGUGUGGAAACAGCUCUUCCAAGUCACAAGCUAGCACAGCAGCUCCUGGAGCACAUUUUUCUCAAAUUUAAUAGGUGAUGGGGCCUUUGCGUUGUUUAAAUUUUCUUCCCUCUAUAAUAGCACACAGGACCAACCUUAGUUCAUAUAGGCCAGGGUCAUAGCUCCAAAAAUAGUCAGAAAGCAAGUCUCAAGGGAGAAGAAGGAGCCCCAUAGGGCAGAGGAAAGCUAAUUCAAUGGUCCAAAGGCCUUAACUGUAUGUGUGUUCAAUGUAUUUCAACUCAAAGGUGAGUAAAAAAACUUCCGUGACAGUGAUAUGCCUGAGAAGGCUGAAAAAAAAUUAAUCCUGGAAAACAGAAAGGGUGAAAAAAACACAGAGGAGUAGAAGAAAAUGAGGAUUUGUCUGUUGUCCAUGGCAAGCCCUAAGUAGGACCUUCUUAAGGAGGGACCGAGAGGGAAAAGGAGGCCCCUAGGACCGGGCAGGUGGACUUGCAGAGGUUUCGUGCUUGAGAAAGGGCUGGGAGCGCAGUGCACCGGCAGCAUGGGAAGAGCAAUGGAAAAGAGCAGGGAAGGCCAGGUAGGCACCGUGUUGUCUGUGGACAGCUGCUGCAAAGGGAAGUCCACCUAAUCUUUGCUAACUCUAGCUUGGUGAGUGCUUCAUGUGAAGGUGAGAAGUAGCACACGUAGCUCUUCGAAACACAAGAGUCCCCUCUGCACAGACUGUGGGCAGCCCUCCAGCAUCCAUGGGGGACAGACACACUCAAGGGCAAAGCAGGUCUUGUUAGGGACGGCUCUGGUGGAUCCUGGAGCAGACCCUGGCAGGUGCUUACCACAUUCAGGACAUGGUUGUUCAAUCUGCCUGUAUUUACACUGGGGAAAAAUUAGGGUAAGGCAACCCUCUUAAUAAUGCAGCGUUCACCAAUCUCACCGCUUACUAAACCAGCAAUAUUUUAAAACAACCUUUUUGUUUUCUGCCAUGGCUGGAUUCUGGGCUCUUAUUUUAUCUGUCACAUCCAGUCUGCUAAAAGAAGCAGGUUCUGUAUCUUAGUCAGCGGUAUGAUUUUCUGUUUGUCCUUUUGAAUGACUUUGCCCAAAGGGGUGAUGAUAAAAAAAUGUGAAAGCUGGUGUCAAAAUAAUUUCUCUGAGCCUGGAACAUACUUUUUUUUCAUUAUUCUUGACAUUCUCUUUUAUUUGUGUCUUUUCUCUUCCCCUCUCCACUUACCUUCAGUAUUAGAGCAAAGUAAAACACAUAAUACAGAUAAUUCUGCUUUCAGAUUUCUUGGCUAGCAUUGACCCACUCUCAUGUGGAUAUGUGGGAGCUCUG